GUGCCAGCAGCCGCGGUAAUACGGAGGAUCCAAGCGUUAUCCGGAUUUAUUGGGUUUAAAGGGUGCGUAGGCGGGCCCUUAAGUCAGUGGUGAAAGUUUGCAGCUUAACUGUAAAAUUGCCAUUGAAACUGAGGGUCUUGAGUGUAAAUAAGGUAGGCGGAAUGUGUUGUGUAGCGGUGAAAUGCUUAGAUAUAACACAGAACACCAAUUGCGAAGGCAGCUUACUGGGAUACAACUGACGCUGAGGCACGAAAGCGUGGGGAUCAAACAGGAUUAGAUACCCUGGUAGUCCACGCAGUAAACGAUGAAUACUAGCUGUAUGCGAUAUACUGUAUGUGGCACAGCGAAAGCGUUAAGUAUUCCACCUGGGGAGUACGUUCGCAAGAAUGAAACUCAAAGAAAUUGGCGG
rnacentral:rRNA from 1 species